GCCACCUUCUGUGCCCCCAGCGCCACGUUCUGGGCCACGUGAGCUGAGCCACGUGGGCCUCACGUGGAGCUAGGGCCACAGGGGUCUGCAGGC
rnacentral:pre_miRNA from 1 species